AACGAACGCUGGCGGCAUGCCUAACACAUGCAAGUCGAACGAAGCCUUCGGGCUUAGUGGCGCACGGGUGCGUAACGCGUGGGAAUCUGCCCUUAGGUGCGGAAUAACUCAGGGAAACUUGAGCUAAUACCGCAUAAUGACUCCGGUCCAAAGAUUUAUCGCCUAAGGAUGAGCCCGCGUCGGAUUAGCUAGUUGGUGAGGUAAAAGCUCACCAAGGCGACGAUCCGUAGCUGGUCUGAGAGGAUGAUCAGCCACACUGGGACUGAGACACGGCCCAGACUCCUACGGGAGGCAGCAGUGGGGAAUAUUGGACAAUGGGCGAAAGCCUGAUCCAGCAAUGCCGCGUGAGUGAUGAAGGCCUUAGGGUUGUAAAGCUCUUUUACCCGGGAUGAUAAUGACAGUACCGGGAGAAAAAGCCCCGGCUAACUCCGUGCCAGCCGCCGCGGUAA
rnacentral:rRNA from 1 species